rnacentral:rRNA from 1 species
GUCCGGAGCAGUGUUCGGAUCGAGGCGACGUGGGCGGUUCGCCGCCGACGACGUCGCGAGAAGUCCACUGAACCUUAUCAUUUAGAGGAAGGAGAAGUCGUAACAAGGUUUCCGUAGGUGAACCUGCGGAAGGAUCAUUG